GUGAACAGCAGAACCAGCACCAGCAGACGUGGCUUCAGCUGUCCGGGUAUAACGAGGAGAAUCCACAGUGCAGGUUUGAUCCUCCGACCUGCAGCGACACAGACUCACACUACUCAAGCUCCAGUUCUCCAUCUCCACCCGCACACACACCUGCUCUCUCAGGUAAGAGGAAGGAGCGCCUCUUUCAGUUCCUGUACGAGAUGCUGCAGACGCCGC